rnacentral:rRNA from 1 species
AUACAGAGGGUGCAAGCGUUAAUCGGAUUUACUGGGCGUAAAGCGCGCGUAGGUGGCUAAUUAAGUCAAAUGUGAAAUCCCCGAGCUUAACUUGGGAAUUGCAUUCGAUACUGGUUAGCUAGAGUAUGGGAGAGGAUGGUAGAAUUCCAGGUGUAGCGGUGAAAUGCGUAUAGAUCUGGAGGAAUACCGAUGGCGAAGGCAGCCCACUGGCCUAAGACUGGCACUGAGGGGCGAAAGCAUGGGGAGCAAACAGGAUUAGGUACCGUGGUAGUCCAGGCCGUAAACGAUGUCUACUAGCCGAUGGGGCCCUUGAGGCUUUAGUGGCGCAGCUAACGCGAUAAGUAGACCGCCUGGGGAGUACGGUCGCAAGGCUAAAACUCAAAUGAAUUGACGGGG